CUGCGAUGAUGAGCUGAUUUGUGACUGACCUGGUAUUGCCACCCUCCGGGGAGGGCUCUGACUAGGAUGUGACUUAGGUUAAUCUUCUCUCUGAGCAG
ensembl:snoRNA Z30 small nucleolar RNA